AACGCUAGCGGCAGGCUUACACAUGCAAGUCGAGGGGUAACGAUUCUGAGCAAUCGGAAGUCGACGACCGGCGCACGGGUGAGUAUCGCGUAUGUAACCUACCUUUGACUGGAGAAUAGCCCGAAGAAAUUCGGAUUAAUACUCCAUAAAACUGUGAGAAGGCAUCUUUUUACAGUUAAAGCUUCGGCGGUCUUAGAUGGGCAUGCGUAACAUUAGCUAGUUGGUGAGGUAAUAGCUCACCAAGGCUACGAUGUUUAGGGGGUCUGAGAGGGUGGUCCCCCACACUGGUACUGAGACACGGACCAGACUCCUACGGGAGGCAGCAGUGAGGAAUAUUGGUCAAUGGGCGAAAGCCUGAACCAGCCAUGCCGCGUGAAGGAUGACGGCCCUAUGGGUUGUAAACUUCUUUUAUACGGGAAGAAACCCCUCUACGUGUAGAGGGCUGACGGUACCGUACGAAUAAGCAUCGGCUAACUCCGUGCCAGCAGCCGCGGUAAUACGGAGGAUGCAAGCGUUAUCUGGAUUUAUUGGGUUUAAGGGUGCGUAGGCGGAAAAUUAAGUCAGUGAUGAAAUCCUGCAGCUUAACUGUAGAAUUGUUAUUGAUACUGAUUUUCUUGAAUACAGUUGAGGUAGGCGGAAUGUGUAAUGUAGCGGUGAAAUGCUUAGAUAUUACACAGAACACCGAUUGCGAAGGCAGCUUACUAAACUGUGAUUGACGCUGAGGCACGAAAGCGUGGGGAGCGAACAGGAUUAGAUACCCUGGUAGUCCACGCUGUAAACGAUGAUCACUCGUUGUUGGCAAUACAUCGUCAGCGACUGAGCGAAAGCAUUAAGUGAUCCACCUGGGGAGUACGAUCGCAAGAUUGAAACUCAAAGGAAUUGACGGGGGCCCGCACAAGCGGAGGAACAUGUGGUUUAAUUCGAUGAUACGCGAGGAACCUUACCUGGGCUUAAAUGCAUAACGACGGACCGGGAAACUGGUCUUUCUUCGGACGGAAUGCAAGGUGCUGCAUGGCUGUCGUCAGCUCGUGCCGUGAGGUGUCGGGUUAAGUCCCAUAACGAGCGCAACCCUCAUCAUUAGUUGCCAGCGGGUAAUGCCGGGGACUCUAAUGAAACUGCCGGUGUAAACCGAGAGGAAGGUGGGGAUGACGUCAAGUCAGCACGGCCCUUAUGUCCAGGGCUACACACGUGUUACAAUGGUCAGUACAAAGGGCAGCUACCAGGCAACUGGAUGCUAAUCUCUAAAACUGGUCUCAGUUCGGAUCGGAGUCUGCAACUCGACUUCGUGAAGUUGGAUUCGCUAGUAAUCGCGCAUCAGCCAUGGCGCGGUGAAUACGUUCCCGGGCCUUGUACACACCGCCCGUCAAGCCAUGGAAGCCGGGGGUACCUGAAGUUC
rnacentral:rRNA from 1 species